UAGAGAGAGUUAGAGCAAGAGGAGUGAGAGUAAGAGGGGGAUGAGGAGAAGGAGUACAACAAGGAAGAGGACAGAGGAAAACAAUUAUGAAUGAGAUCCAGCCCCUUUUGGUUGACCAUGUGGUCAAUCAUGGUUUGAGUUUCAGGGAGGCUGGGCAGAGGGUCCAGCAUAACUUAAGCCCCUACACUGUAGCUAGUGUCAUCUGGACAUUUCAAAAUGAGAACAGAAUUGAUAGAUGACCCUACAUUAGAGGAAGAAAAUGGAUUUUCACAGCAGAGCAGGAACAACACAGUGAAUAUGGUCAUAGCAAACAACAGCAAUUUGACAAUUGCAACAACACAUCAUCACUGACGACACAACAUUCAGUAACAUAAAUAGGAGAGUUAUGGAACUAGAAGCUGCUGUAGAGCAUCAUGAUUUUAUUUAUGUUAAAGAGGUUGGCUUUAACCGAUGCAAAACUAGACUUCACGAG